AAAGGAAUUGACGGGGGCCCGCACAAGCGGAGGAGCAUGUGGUUUAAUUCGAUGAUACGCGAGGAACCUUACCUAGACUUGAACGUAUAAGUAAUAAUUUAGAAAUAGAUUAGCUAGUAAUAGACUUUUACGAGGUGCUGCAUGGUUGUCGUCAGCUCGUGCCGUGAGGUGUCAGGUUAAGUCCUAUAACGAGCGCAACCCUUACACUUAGUUGCCAGCAUGUAAUGAUGGGGACUCUAAGUGGACUGCCGGCGCAAGCUGUGAGGAAGGUGGGGAUGACGUCAAAUCAGCACGGCCCUUAUGUCUAGGGCGACACACGUGCUACAAUGGCCGAUACAGGGGGCAGCUACAUGGCGACAUGAUGCUAAUCUCCAAAGUCGGUCUCAGUUCGGAUCGGAGUCUGCAACCCGACUCCGUGAAGUUGGAUUCGCUAGUAAUCGCAGAUCAGCCAUGCUGCGGUGAAUACGUUCCCGGGCCUUGUACACACCGCCCGU
rnacentral:rRNA from 1 species